GACGAACGCUGGCGGCGUGCUUAACACAUGCAAGUCGAACGGAAAGGCCCUGCUUUUGUGGGGUGCUCGAGUGGCGAACGGGUGAGUAACACGUGAGUAACCUGCCCUUGACUUUGGGAUAACUUCAGGAAACUGGGGCUAAUACCGGAUAGGAGCUCCUGCUGCAUGGGGGGGGUUGGAAAGUUUCGGCGGUUGGGGAUGGACUCGCGGCUUAUCAGCUUGUUGGUGGGGUAGUGGCUUACCAAGGCUUUGACGGGUAGCCGGCCUGAGAGGGUGACCGGCCACAUUGGGCCUGAGGUACGGCCCAGACUCCUACGGGAGGCAGCAGUGGGGAAUAUUGCACAGUGGGCGGAAGCCUGAUGCAGCAACGCCGCGUGCGGGAUGACGGCCUUCGGGUUGUAAACCGCUUUCGCCUGUGCCGAAGCGUGAGUGACGGUAAUGGGUAAAGAAGCCCCGGCUAACUACGUG
rnacentral:rRNA from 1 species